ACUUACACCAACCAGGUGACGACAGUAUUUAAGUAAAGACGAAUAUAUCAUAGUACAAUUUUUGGAUUAUUCCACCUCAUGACGUAACAAAAGCGCAUUAUAUCCUCAGCUUAAUAAAAUACACCACCAAAUUUUAUGAAAACCACAUUUCACAAAAAGCUUAUGAAUUUCAUAGAUGUUUAGCUAUCGAUUACAUAACAAGCGUUACAGAUCAAAGGAAACUAGACACUAAUUAAUUAAAAGCAACUGUUUUUACACCUAACACAAACCCUAAAGACAGUAAAAUUAAACAUUGAAACCAUAAAAUUGUUCAAGAGCUAGUGAAUUUGGUAACGGCCUUAGUUCCUUCAGAGACAGCAUGCUUAGCCAAUUCACCAGGAAGUACAAGUCUCACAGCAGUCUGAAUCUCCCGAGAAGUGAUAGUUGGCUUCUUGUUGUACCUAGCAAGUCUCGAAGAUUCCUGAGCAAGCUUCUCAAAGAUAUCGUUAAUGAAACUGUUCAUGAUACCCAUAGCUUUGCUCGAAAUACCGAUAUCAGGAUGAGAGCGAGUCUAGAAGAUUCCUGAGCAAGCUUCUCAAAGAUAUCGUUGAUGAAACUGUUCAUGAUACCCAUGGCUUUGCUUGAAAUACCGAUAUCGGGGUGAACCUGCUUCAGAACCUUGAAGAUGUAAAUCUUGUAGGUCUCAACUGACUUCUUUGCCCUCUUCUUCUUCUUGUCUCCGGCAGCACCAGCGUCCUUUGGGAGCUUCUUUCCGGCCUUGGGCUUCUUCUCUGCUGGUGCUUUCUCGGCGACCGGGGUUUUCUCAGCGGCCGGCUUUUUCUCGGCGUGUUUCUUCUCAGCUUUUGGUGCCAUUUGAGGAGAGAAAUGGAGAUUUUAGGUUAAGAGAAGGUUUGGAGUAAUUUUGAAGAGAUGCGAAUACGAUUGAUGAAGCAAUUAGGAAAUGAG
rnacentral:lncRNA from 1 species